CGAUGAUAGCUUGCUAUCAGGCGUCGAGCGGCGGACGGGUGAGUAAUACUUAGGAAUCUACCUAGUAGUGGGGGAUAGCACGGGGAAACUCGUAUUAAUACCGCAUACGACCUACGGGAGAAAGGGGGCAGUUUACUGCUCUCGCUAUUAGAUGAGCCUAAGUCGGAUUAGCUAGAUGGUGGGGUAAAGGCCUACCAUGGCGACGAUCUGUAGCUGGUCUGAGAGGAUGAUCAGCCACACCGGGACUGAGACACGGCCCGGACUCCUACGGGAGGCAGCAGUGGGGAAUAUUGGACAAUGGGGGAAACCCUGAUCCAGCCAUGCCGCGUGUGUGAAGAAGGCCUUUUGGUUGUAAAGCACUUUAAGCAGUG
rnacentral:rRNA from 1 species